AUGCCAAGGCAUGGCGGUGUGGAUUUUGCAAGCUGGCCUCUCACUAAGUCUGGUGAAUAUUCGGUGCGAUCUGCAUAUAAUAUGGCGCGAUCGGCGCGUUUUCUUGAAACUUGCAGCAAGUGUGGUUCUGGACAAUCCUCGAAUGUGGCUGCUGAUGAGAAGAGUUGGAAGGUGAUAUGGUCUAUUAAAGCACCCAACAAAAUGAAGGUCGUACUUUGGCGUUUCGCUCAUGUUUGCCUUCCAUCUGGGGCUCAAUUGCAACGCCGCCAUGUUCCUGAUGCUGUGUGUUGUUGCUUCUGUGGGCGACUGGAAAGCGUGGAGCACGCCACACUUUUUUUGUCUGCGUGCAAAAACUGUUUGGGAUGCGAUCAAGGAGUGGUCUGGCAUUCAGCUUCGUCGCUCUUCUUUUAG
rnacentral:rRNA from 1 species